AAAAAUGUUACCACCUACCUUCUCACUUGCUCUAUAAGAUUAGCAAAUGAUUGUUCCUAAGCAUAAUUUUGAUCACUUAUAUACCAAUUAUGAUUUUGUACAUUAAAUGGGCUCAAAUUUAUCCGUCUUCAAUCGGAAUUCUGCAAUUUUUUUCCCAAACCAAACUGAACAUACAUUGAAUAUUGCACAAGUUAAUUUUGAAUGUCGUUUAUUUUUAACGUUGUUUUCCAUGUGUAUUCCAUAUUUUCAAACCUUGUAAAUGGACGGAAACCACUCUUAGUAAUGACGAAACCCCAGACAAAAUAUGUGAUAAUAACCUAUAAUUGGUGAAUGUGUAUUAAUGCCGAAUCAAACCGAUCAACAUCAUUUGACAUUUAAUUUACCACUUGAUCAACUGUAGUUUCACCGAGCGCGGAAUGACCCAAACGUAGUGCGUAUGCAAUAAUAGUUUUCA